rnacentral:rRNA from 1 species
UACGUAGGGGGCUAGCGUUGUCCGGAUUUAUUGGGCGUAAAGAGCGUGUAGGCGGCCAGAUAGGUCUGCUGUGAAAACUCGAGGCUCAACCUCGAGAUGUCGGCGGAAACCAUUUGGCUAGAGUCCGGAAGAGGAAAGUGGAAUUCCUGGUGUAGCGGUGAAAUGCGCAGAUAUCAGGAGGAACACCGGUGGCGAAGGCGGUUCUCUGGGCAUUGACCUGACGCUGAGGAGCGAAAGUGUGGAG